AAUCUCCUGGCCAUGGAAAAAGGGGCAGAGCUUUGGGAAGCUGAGGUGGGAAGAAGCACACAAAGGAAGAAGGCAGAGACGGGGGACUUCGCGGGGACCAGACCCCCCCCCCCACAGCCUGUAGGUGGGUCUGCCCUGCUGCCCACAGCCACGGAGGAAAGCAAAGGAAACCUGGGCCAAGGCUAGAGCUUGAAAGCUAAGUAUCAAUGAAGAUGGGGGGCUGGCCCUUCACGGGUCCUUUCUGGGCAGAGGCGAGAUCCUUGAGCUUGAUCAAGGGAGGCUGGGGUGGGUGGGGGGUGGAGGAACAUGACGGUUGCCCUUUCCGCACAAAUCGCCUAAAACAUUUGCAAAACGUUUUUGGCCCCCUCCCCCUUUACCACGACGUUUGUACACACACACCCCCUCAAAAGGAUUCACAGCUGCCGUUAGGUGGGGCUUUCCCCCCCUUUUUUGAGUGACUGGUUGAAUUGACUCUUCGAUGCUUUUUGCUGCGAUUCUCUAUACCUCGUAUAAUCAAUGCUUCAAAGAUUACCCCUACCUCAAAAAAAAACAUAUGGUGAAAAUAAACCGACCGGGGGGAACAGAGUGAGCUCAGCAACGGGAGAAAAUGGCGCCGAGGAGCUAAUUCGGGGACGACACGGAGGCAUGGAAAAUACAUCGCACAGCAUUUUUGUUGUUUUGAAAAUGUUUCGAACCAAAGCAGCGUCAUUUAAAAAGGGGAUUGAGUAAAAACAUUUUGAGGCUGAAAAUAAAACGUUUUCCGGACGUAAAGGGGGGAAAGCAAUGCGGAACUCCAUAAGGAGUUUUAUUUCCUGCCCUCGAAACGUUCUAAAAGGUUUGUGUGGAAAGGGCCGGUGUCUUGUGAUACUGGGUCACUGGGAUAUCCAUGUGCCUUGGAUGGAUAGGGCGACAGGCUUUUUAAAGAUUUGGGUUAGAAAUUGAUCUCUUUUGAGGGCGUGUGGAGAGACCGGGAAGGGAAGGGGGCAUGGGGUAGUAGCCCAAUUUCAUCAGAUCUCAGAAGAAAGUAGGGUCAGUACUUGGAUGGAAGAUGACUCAGGAAGGCAACGGCAAACCACUUAAUUACUUUCCCGGAAAGCCCCUUGCGGGGGGUCACUAUCAGCCAGUUGUAACUUGACGGCACUUACAUAAGAGUGAAUGGCAUAGGUCUCGUGGUUUUCAUAACAAAUAUUUCAGGAUGGAUUCUUCCAGCCGUUCUUCAGAGUCUGGACUGUGGAGUAAUUUGCUUGGCAGAUUGCCUCGGUGAGCUGAGUCUUGCCCCCUUGGCUUCUGGGCUCUCGUCAGGAAUUCCGCUAGUUCUGAACUAUUUACAGUUGGAAAAAGUUCACUACUAGCAGAACUCGGCCGCGCGCCCUGUGCUCUUCGGUGGGGGGCAAGAAACCACCGCCAGGACUGGCCGGGCAAGCCAAGAGACAGGAGGGGCUGGCUGAGAGGGGGGUCAAGGAUGCUCGCCUCCAGACAAAGUCACAAUAGCAACAUAUCUGGGUACAGGCUCCUUGUGUGUUGCGUUCAAGGCCCUUCCCGGACGAGUUGCUGCUUCUCCGCACGGCCCAGUCUCCCCACACACGCAGCGAAGGGGAGAAAGGAGGAUUCCCAAAAUAACGAGCCGUCACCAUUGAUUCCAAAGUUGCAUCUUCAUUGUAUUUAUUCUGGGGCAGGAAGUAUUCUACGGACAAGAGAACGGUAGGAAGGAAUUACAGAGAUGAGGACAGGAUCAGAGGGAUUAUUAUAUAUUUACAGGAUGCCACGAUCUCUGCUUGCCCUUGGAAGGAGCGAUAAAGAGGGCAUACAUAGCUUUGAAAUGCAAUUGAUUUGGGGCGGGGUGUCUCAAUCUGUCUCUUCUUCUUCUUUCUAGGCUUGUAACUGAUUUCUCUUGUUGUGUUCCCUGGCAUUAUCAGGAGGGAGUGACAGACCAGCCAGAAAGGAGGAAAGCUAACUCCGUGGAGGAGCCACUUCCGUGAGAGGCGAGGCUUGUCUGGAUGCCCACUGGAUACCACCUGUGGUUUUCCAACAUGGGCAAAUACCUCCCCCACCUUGAGGAAAUGGGAGAAAGCCAACCAUCAACACGGCAGCCAUCGAAGGGGCAAGACUAACCGGAGGGAGUUGGGGAGCCGGCCAAUUUGCUGCCCCUGCGAACGUCUUUUCUGGAUGAGAUCUUACGGAGAAACCAUGCUGGAUGAGGUCUUAAGGAGAAAUCGUCCAGAUAUUGAUGACGCUGCACCCCACAUUCCUGGAGGACGAUGUUUAACGUAGAUGUUGAAGGCCACGAAAGAUAAAACUGAACCUGGAUGCGUUCCAUAGGAUAAGUCCCAUGGACCUGAACAAGAGUUCCCUCGCAGCAUCUCCUGGGAUCUGUCUACCUUCUCAGCAGCUUGGGAACUACCAACCCAAACUUAGCAAGGCCUCCCAAAAGGAUAUUGUGGUCAACACUGUCAAAUGCCUACGAGAGGUCAGGAACGAUCGCUUCCGAUGUGUUUUCCCCAGCAAAGAUUAUCAACAAAGGCUGAUGUUGUCCCAAAAUCGGGUCUGAAGCCCUACUGAAAAGUGUGUACGCUUAAGAUAGCAGGGUUGGUAAUCCUUCCAGGGGCCAUUUAGCUUUCUCCAAAUAUUUCUUGAAAUGCUACAAACAUUAACAGAACAAUGGCCAGAAAUCACAAGAGGGCAACAAUAUGUAAAUAUGUAGAAUUAACUGAACCAUGAAUUAAAUUUGUAAAAUUGACAGUUCUUGGAAAAGGUUUGGCAAAGGUCUGCCGUGGGCAGGCUUUUCAGAAUACAGACCAGUGUCGUGGGCUGGAUUGGUACAGUGGCUAAGAAUGUCGGAGACCCUGGCUCAAGCUCCAGCCCAGGCCAUGGAAGCUCAUGGGGUGACUUUUGGCCAGUCACAUAUUCUCAGCUUCACCUACUUCACAGGGUUAUUGUGAGGACAGAAUGAAAGAGAGGAGAACUGUGCCAACUGCUUUAAGUCCCCUUAAGAGAGAAAGGAGGGAGUACAAACGAAUUAAAUAAAUCAGUCAAUCAGUAUGGACCCUAGUCCCUACCUAUAUCAAUGAGGCUUCCUUAAAAUUUUUAAAAACCUGUAUGUCUGUUUCCUUGUUCGUUCCCUUGUUUCCCCUUCUAGUCAAAGCAUUAAAGUGAGGGGGUGCUGAGCUAACUUGCCUUAGGUCA